UGCAUUAAUUCACAUAUAACUACGAGUCACAUGCUAAAGCUGGUCACCAUACGCCAAGGGCCUUAACCACCACCACACAUUUUACGACCUAGAUUUGGGGCCCCAAGCGAUCUACCCGGCCGGACAGACUGACUGACACAAACGACGGGUUGGAGCCGCAUCUGCAUGCAUGUUUUUGCUUGCCUAGUUGUAUCUCACGACUACUGUC
rnacentral:lncRNA from 1 species